rnacentral:rRNA from 1 species
GCUAAGAAUAUUCCGCAAUGGACGAAAGUCUGACGGAGCGACGCCGCGUGGAUGAAGAAGGCCGAAAGGUUGUAAAAUCCUUUUGCUGAUGAAGAAUAAGUGGUGUAGGGAAUGACAUCAUGAUGACAUUAGUCGGUGAAUAAGCCCCGGCUAACUACGUGCCAGCAGCCGCGGUAACACGUAGGGGGCAAGCGUUGUUCGGAAUUAUUGGGCGUAAAGGGCAUGUAGGCGGUUUGGUAAGCCUGGUGUGAAAUCCUGCAGCUUAACUGUAGAAUUGCAUUGGGUACUGCCAGACUUGAAUCACAGAGGGGAAACUAGAAUUCCAGGUGUAGGGGUGGAAUCUGUAGAUAUCUGGAAGAAUACCGGUGGCGAAGGCGGGUUUCUAGCUGAUGAUUGACGCUGAGGUGCGAAAGUGCGGGGAGCAAACAGGAUUAGAAACCCUGGUAGUCC